rnacentral:rRNA from 1 species
CCUACGGGAGGCAGCAGUGGGGAAUUUUGGACAAUGGGCGAAAGCCUGAUCCAGCCAUUCCGCGUGAGUGAAGAAGGCCUUCGGGUUGUAAAGCUCUUUCGCAAGGAAAGAAAACUUACUUACUAAUACUAGGCGAGGAUGACGGUACCUUGAUAAGAAGCACCGGCUAACUACGUGCCAGCAGCCGCGGUAAUACGUAGGGUGCGAGCGUUAAUCGGAAUUACUGGGCGUAAAGCGUGCGCAGGCUGUUUUGUAAGUCAGAUGUGAAAUCCCUGGGCUCAACCUAGGAACUGCGUUUGAAACUACAAGGCUAGAGUGUAGCAGAGGGGGGUAGAAUUCCACGUGUAGCAGUGAAAUGCGUAGAGAUGUGGAGGAAUACCAAUGGCGAAGGCAGCCCCCUGGGUUAACACUGACGCUCAUGCACGAAAGCGUGGGGAGCAAACAGGAUUAGAUACCCUGGUAGUCCACGCCCUAAACGAUGUCUACUAGUUGUUGGGAGAGUAAACUCUCUUAGUAACGCAGCUAACGCGUGAAGUAGACCGCCGUGGGGAGGUACGGUCGGCGAGUAAGUUAAACGUUAAACGUUAAAGUUAGUAGUUAGUUAGAGNGNGCGAGACGACGACGACGGAGAGGAG